GUAGGUGGCAAGCGUUGUCCGGAAUUAUUGGGCGUAAAGCGCGCGCAGGCGGUUCUUUAAGUCUGAUGUGAAAGCCCACGGCUCAACCGUGGAGGGUCAUUGGAAACUGGAGAACUUGAGUACAGAAGAGGAAAGCGGAAUUCCACGUGUAGCGGUGAAAUGCGUAGAGAUGUGGAGGAACACCAGUGGCGAAGGCGGCUUUCUGGUCUGUAACUGACGCUGAGGCGCGAAAGCGUGGGGAGCAAACAGGGAUUAGAUACCCUGGUAGUCCACGCCGUAAACGAUGAGUGCUAAGUGUUAGGGGGUUUCCGCCCCCUUAGUGCUGCAGCUAACGCAUUAAGCACUCCGCCUGGGCAGUACGGCCGCAAGGCUG
rnacentral:rRNA from 1 species